GGGGAGCCCUAGCACAGGUGCUGCAUGGCCGUCGUCAGCUCGUGCCGUGAGGUGUUGGGUUAAGUCCCGCAACGAGCGCAACCCCCGCCGUUAGUUGCCAGCGGUUCGGCCGGGCACUCUAACGGGACUGCCCGCGAAAGCGGGAGGAAGGAGGGGACGACGUCUGGUCAGCAUGGCCCUUACGGCCUGGACGACACACGUGCUACAAUGCCCACUACAAAGCGAUGCCACCCGGCAACGGGGAGCUAAUCGCAAAAAGGUGGGCCCAGUUCGGAUUGGGGUCUGCAACCCGACCCCAUGAAGCCGGAAUCGCUAGUAAUCGCGGAUCAGCCAUGCCGCGGUGAAUACGUUCCCGGGCCUU
rnacentral:rRNA from 1 species